rnacentral:rRNA from 1 species
UUAAGUUAAUAAGGGCGCACGGUGGAUGCCUUGGCACUAGGAGCCGACGAAGGACGUGACAAACGACGAUAUGCCUUGGGUAGCUGUAAGUAAGCGAUGAUCCAGGGAUUUCCGAAUGGGGGAACCCAACAGGUAAUACCUGUUACCNNNNNNNNNNNNNNACAUCUGUUAAGGAUGUGAGGAGGAAGACGCAGUGAACUGAAACAUCUAAGUAGCUGCAGGAAGAGAAAGCAAAAGCGAUUGCCUUAGUAGCGGCGAGCGAAACGGCAGAAGGGCAAACCGAAGAGUUUACUCUUCGGGGUUGUAGGACUGCAAUGUGGACUCAAAGAUUAUAGAAGAAUGAUUUGGGAAGAUCAGCCAAAGAGAGUAAUAGCCUCGUAUUUAAAAUAGUCUUUGUACUUAGCAGUAUCCUGAGUACGGCGGGACACGUGAAAUCCCGUCGGAAUCUGGGAGGACCAUCUCCCAACCCUAAAUACUCCCUAGUGACCGAUAGUGAACCAGUACCGUGAGGGAAAGGUGAAAAGCACCCCGGGAGGGGAGUGAAAUAGAACCUGAAACCGUGUGCCUACAACAAGUUCGAGCCCGUUAAUGGGUGAGAGCGUGCCUUUUGUAGAAUGAACCGGCGAGUUACGUUAUGAUGCGAGGUUAAGUUGAAGAGACGGAGCCGUAGGGAAACCGAGUCUGAAUAGGGCGCCUUAGUAUCAUGACGUAGACCCGAAACCAUGUGACCUACCCAUGAGCAGGUUGAAGGUGCGGUAAGACGCACUGGAGGACCGAACCAGGGCACGUUGAAAAGUGCUUGGAUGACUUGUGGGUAGCGGAGAAAUUCCAAACGAACUUGGAGAUAGCUGGUUCUCUCCGAAAUAGCUUUAGGGCUAGCGUCGACAUUAGAGAUUCUUGGAGGUAGAGCACUGUUUGGGUGAGGGGUCCAUCCCGGAUUACCAAUCUCAGAUAAACUCCGAAUGCCAAUGAAUUAUGGUCGGCAGUCAGACUGCGAGUGCUAAGAUCCGUAGUCGAAAGGGAAACAGCCCAGACCACCAGCUAAGGUCCCAAAAUAAUUGUUAAGUGGAAAAGGAUGUGGGGUUGCACAGACAACUAGGAUGUUAGCUUAGAAGCAGCUAUUCAUUCAAAGAGUGCGUAAUAGCUCACUAGUCGAGUGACCCUGCGCCGAAAAUGUACCGGGGCUAAAACAAUUUACCGAAGCUGUGGAUACCUUUAUAGGUAUGGUAGGAGAGCGUUCUAUGUGUGAUGAAGGUAUACCGUGAGGAGUGCUGGAACGCAUAGAAGUGAGAAUGCCGGUAUGAGUAGCGAAAGACAGGUGAGAAUCCUGUCCACCGUAAGACUAAGGUUUCCAGGGGAAGGCUCGUCCGCCCUGGGUUAGUCGGGACCUAAGGAGAGACCGAAAGGUGUAUCCGAUGGACAACAGGUUGAUAUUCCUGUACUAGAGUAUGUAGUGAUGGAGGGACGCAGUAGGCUAACUAAAGCAGACGAUUGGAAGAGUCUGUCUAAGCAGUGAGGUGUGAAUUGAGUCAAAUGCUUAAUUCUAUAACAUUGAGCUGUGAUGGGGAGCGAAGUUUAGUAGCGAAGUUAGUGACGUCACACUGCCAAGAAAAGCUUCUAGCGUUUAAACAUACUCUACCCGUACCGCAAACCGACACAGGUAGUCGAGGCGAGUAGCCUCAGGUGAGCGAGAGAACUCUCGUUAAGGAACUCGGCAAAAUGACCCCGUAACUUCGGGAGAAGGGGUGCUGACUUAAAGUCAGCCGCAGUGAAUAGGCCCAAGCAACUGUUUAUCAAAAACACAGCUCUCUGCUAAAUCGUAAGAUGAUGUAUAGGGGGUGACGCCUGCCCGGUGCUGGAAGGUUAAGAGGAGUGCUUAGCGUAAGCGAAGGUAUGAAUUGAAGCCCCAGUAAACGGCGGCCGUAACUAUAACGGUCCUAAGGUAGCGAAAUUCCUUGUCGGGUAAGUUCCGACCCGCACGAAAGGCGUAAUGAUUUGGGCACUGUCUCAACGAGAGACUCGGUGAAAUUUUAGUACCUGUGAAGAUGCAGGUUACCCGCGACAGGACGGAAAGACCCCAUGGAGCUUUACUGCAGUUUGAUAUUGAGUGUCUGUACCACAUGUACAGGAUAGGUAGGAGUCUAAGAGAUCGGGACGCCAGUUUCGAAGGAGACGCUGUUGGGAUACUACCCUUGUGUUAUGGCCACUCUAACCCAGAUAGGUGAUCCCUAUCGGAGACAGUGUCUGACGGGCAGUUUGACUGGGGCGGUCGCCUCCUAAAAGGUAACGGAGGCGCCCAAAGGUUCCCUCAGAAUGGUUGGAAAUCAUUCGCAGAGUGUAAAGGUAUAAGGGAGCUUGACUGCGAGAGCUACAACUCGAGCAGGGACGAAAGUCGGGCUUAGUGAUCCGGUGGUUCCGUAUGGAAGGGCCAUCGCUCAACGGAUAAAAGCUACCCUGGGGAUAACAGGCUUAUCUCCCCCAAGAGUUCACAUCGACGGGGAGGUUUGGCACCUCGAUGUCGGCUCGUCGCAUCCUGGGGCUGUAGUCGGUCCCAAGGGUUGGGCUGUUCGCCCAUUAAAGCGGCACGCGAGCUGGGUUCAGAACGUCGUGAGACAGUUCGGUCCCUAUCCGUCGCGGGCGUAGGAAAUUUGAGAGGAUCUGCUCCUAGUACGAGAGGACCAGAGUGGACUUACCGCUGGUGUACCAGUUGUCUUGCCAAAGGCAUCGCUGGGUAGCUAUGUAGGGAAGGGAUAAACGCUGAAAGCAUCUAAGUGUGAAACCCACCUCAAGAUGAGAUUUCCCAUGAUUAUAUAUCAGUAAGAGCCCUGAGAGAUGAUCAGGUAGAUAGGUUAGAAGUGGAAGUGUGGCGACACAUGUAGCGGACUAAUACUAAUAGCUCGAGGACUUAUCCAA